UGGGAGUGCCCAGAACCUCCCUGGCUCUGUGCAGGAGUUUCCAGCCCUGGCUCUGGCCGUUCCCACCUCCUCCUUCUCCUGCUUGGCCUCCUUGCGCUCGGCCGCGAUGUUCUUCUUGCGGUGAUAAUUGAACUGCGUGUCCUCCUCGGCCUUCACCUUCUCCUGCUUGGCCUCCUUGCGCUCGGCCGCGAUGUUCUUCUUGCGGUGAUAAUUGAACUGCGUGUCCUCCUCGGCCUUCACCAUCUCCUUCUUGCGCUUGUCGUACUCGGGGGCCAGUUCCCCCGAGCGGCUGAUCUCCUCAAACAGCGCCGUGCGCUCCUUGGGGUUCUUCAUGGCGAUGGACUCCACGGCCCCCUGCAACACACAGCCUGCCAUGGGCACACACCCCUGAGAGACGUGUGCAGAAACUCCCAAAUCCUGAGAGGGAUCCCCAAAUCCUGAGAGGGAUCCCCAAAUCCUGAGAGGGAUCCCCAAAUCCUGAGAGGGAUCCCCA
rnacentral:lncRNA from 12 species